rnacentral:rRNA from 1 species
UACGAAGGGGGCUAGCGUUGUUCGGAAUUACUGGGCGUAAAGCGCACGUAGGCGAGUAUUUAAGUCAGGGGUGAAAUCCCAGAGCUCAACUCUGGAACUGCCUUUGAUACUGGGUACCUAGAGUAUGGAAGAGGUGAGUGGAAUUCCGAGUGUAGAGGUGAAAUUCGUAGAUAUUCGGAGGAACACCAGUGGCGAAGGCGGCUCACUGGUCCAUUACUGACGCUGAGGUGCGAAAGCGUGGGGAGCAAACAGGG